AACGAACGCUGGCGGCAUGCCUAACACAUGCAAGUCGAACGGGAUCCUAGCUUGCUAGGUGAGAGUGGCGGACGGGUGAGUAACACGUGGGAAUCUGCCUUUUGGUUCGGGAUAACCGCGGGAAACUGCGGCUAAUACCGAAUGCCCUCGAGAGAGGAAAGAUUUAUCGCCAGAAGAGGAGCCCGCGUCCGAUUAGGUAGUUGGUGGGGUAAAGGCCUACCAAGCCGACGAUCGGUAGCUGGUCUGAGAGGAUGAUCAGCCACACUGGGACUGAGAUACGGCCCAGACUCCUACGGGAGGCAGCAGUGGGGAAUAUUGGACAAUGGGGGCAACCCUGAUCCAGCAAUGCCGCGUGAGUGAUGAAGGCCUUAGGGUUGUAAAGCUCUUUUACUCGGGACGAUAAUGACGGUACCGAGAGAAUAAGCCCCGGCUAACUCCGUGCCAGCAGCCGCGGUAAU
rnacentral:rRNA from 1 species